AUAUCAUCUUUCUUCACUUUCGAAACUAGAGAAAGAAUAAAAGAUAAAAGCUUGGCUAAGGUUCGGCCAUUGUUGAACUAGAUUGAGGUUAGUCUUCUGUUCGGUUUUUGAUAAUUUUUACGUUUUUGAGAUCGUUGCUUUGUGUUCUUUAAAACCCAUGUUUAAAUUUUGUGAAUUGAUGAUGAUUUUGAAAUGUGCCAUUGAUGAAUGUUUGAGUUUUAUGAUGUUAGUUGAGGAAAUAUGAAAUAUAUGUGUUAGAUUAGCAUGUUUUAUCAAUGAAUUGUUGAUGAAUUUGAGUAAUUAGGGUUAAGUUGUAAAAAUAAAAUUUUUUUAGGAGCUAAAAUGUGAAAUAAAUGAAAUGUGUGGGUUUGUAUGGAUACUAAGAAUAUUCGGCCCUUAAGGAGUGUAGUCAAAUUUUGUGUAUUUUGUGUUUUGAGCAAAAAGGACUAAAUUGUGAAAAUGUAAAAUAUUAGGGGUAAAAAUGUAAUUUGCCCAUUUAUGCGUUCUUAGACUAAAUUGAAUGAAAAUAUGUUUAAAUGAGAUUUAUUUGAAUAUGUUUAGAUCAAGAAACCAAGAAAUCGAAUUUAGAUCGGGGGAAAUCAAAGGUAGUUGAGUAGCCGAUCUAUUUGUCGACGACAUCCGAGGUAAGUUAUUAAGCAUACAUAUUUGUGUCGUUUUAAAUUAUCUUAACAUCUAUGUAAUUAUGCUGAAUUGAAUUGAUAUAUAUGUAGUGAAACAAUUUUUGAAAUAUGACGUAUUGAGUUGUUGACCCCCAACACUAAGUGUGCGAGUAUAAAAAUAAACGAUAAUGAGAUUAGCACUAAGUGUGCGAGUUUAAUUGAAAUGCACUAAGUGUGCGAGUAUAAUGGUAAAGCACUAAGUGUGCGAGUGUGAUUAUUAAGCACUAAGUGUGAGUACUUAUUAAAUAUUUUCGAAAUAUUAUUAAUAUCGAGUAUUUGACUUAUCGAGAAAUCAUGAGUAACAAAGUGAGUAAUAAUUAUUUUGAUAGUAUUCAAGAUUAAUUUUUAUAUGUAUCAAACCUAGGUGGUGAUUAUAAUUGGAGUUAUAUUUAUUUAAGAUGAUUCAUUAUAUUUUAUGAUAAUAAAAUGUAUAAGGUACUUGGCCUUGUACUUAAAUUUGAAGAAAUGCUUAUAGUUGAGUAUUUAUAUUGAUUUUUGUUAAAUCACAGUAUGAAGUGAAUAAUUAUAUUAUGCUAUGGGAAGUUAAAGGUAAGAUGAUUUAGAAGUAUGAAUUGGUUAAAUAUUAUUCUAGAUAUCAAGUUAAAUUGUAGAGUUAUUUGUUUGUAACUUACUAAGCUAAAUUAGCUUACAAUGUGUUGGAUUAUUGUUUCGAUGUAUAGAUUUCGGAGAUCGCUACGUGUUCGGGAAUCGUCAGCUAAGCUCAUCACACUAUCGGUGUCUCCUUUUGAUAUUUUGCUAAAUUGUUUUCAAAUAUAUGACAUGUAUAGCUUAGUUAAAAAUGGUGAUUUUGAAAUCGAUGUGUAUGUGUAAUUAAAAGCCGUGCGAAAUUGGCUUAUCUCUUUUUGUUUUGAAUUUGGUAUUAACGAAUAUGCUUUAAUGGUCUAAUUCCCAUGCUUAAAUUCGGU
rnacentral:lncRNA from 1 species